UGGGAUAAACUUCGGGAAACCGGAGCUAUACCGGAUAAUAUAUUGAACCGCAUGGUUCAAUAGUGAAAGACGGUUUUGCUGUCACUUAUAGAUGGAUCCGCGCCGCAUUAGCAGUUGGUAAGGUAACGGCUUACCAAGGCAACGAUGCGUAGCCGACCUGAGAGGGUGAUCGGCCACACUGGAACUGAGACACGGUCCAGACUCCUACGGGAGGCAGCAGAU
rnacentral:rRNA from 1 species